rnacentral:rRNA from 1 species
AUGGCGCACCUUCUGCACGGACAAAGGCUGUUCAAGGAGGGCUAUGUGUGGAGGAUCGGGGAUGACACUGGAGUUAAGAUCUGGACAGAUCAGUGGAUACCGCGACCGUGGUCAAGAAGGGUUAUUACACCACGACGACACCACCUUCUGGAGAGGGUUAGUGACCUGAUUGACCCCACAACCGGCUCUCGGGAUGAACAGCUCGUGAGGGAGACCUUAUGGCCUGAUGAUGUCAAGCACAUACUCCAGAUUCCAUUAUGGGAAGGUGUACAUGACUUCAUUGCUUGGCUGUAUGACAGCAAGGGCUUACACUCGGUGAAGAGUGCUUACAAGCUUCAGGUCCAGCUAGAGGAGUUGAGGAGAUCUGGAGGACAAGGUAGGAGUACGAGCAUACCUGGAAAUUUUGAAAGUACAGAUGACGAUUCCUGGAAAAGACUCUGGAAGCUAUACCAUGCCCGAGAAACAUCCAAAUGUUUGCCUGGCAUCUCAAACAUGAAUCUUUCGCCCUCCGUACAAAUGUUGCACGCAAAGGCAUUCCCAUCCAGGAUACUAGUUGCUUAUUCUGCGGAAGAGCUGCCGAGGACGGAGCACAUCUCUUCAUAA